UCCGGCAUAGCGUUAUGUUCAUCGAUGUAUUUAAGGUUGUCCUUAAAGAUCUGGAACCGUUUAUCUUUUUCUCCCAAAGCGUUGUACACUUUUUUGUGUUCAACUAACCACGAUUCGUACAUAGACAUGACCUCGUCAUCGGUCCGACCGGCGCCGAUCGUGUGAUGUUUUUCGUUGUAGCUUAUAAUCGACAUGUCCUCUGCCGCCGCCGAUGUUACGGCGGCGGAGGACACGACCAUUACGAGGAUCGAGAUUGUUAGAGCGGAGAGAUGAAUCGCCAUG
rnacentral:misc_RNA from 1 species